rnacentral:rRNA from 1 species
UACAGGGGGGGCAAGCGUUGUUCGGAAUUACUGGGCGUAAAGGGCUCGUAGGCGGCCAACUAAGUCAGACGUGAAAUCCCUAGGCUCAACCUAGGAACUGCGUCUGAUACUGGAUGGCUUGAAUCCGGGAGAGGGAUGCAGAAUUCCAGGUGUAGCGGUGAAAUGCGUAGAUAUCUGGAGGAAUACCGGUGGCGAAGGCGGGUCUCUGGGCCGUAACUGACGCUGAGGAGCGAAAGCGUGGGGAGCGAACAGG